GUGAUUGUAGCUCAGUCGGUAGAGCUCUGGAUUGUGGUUCCAGUAGUCGUGGGUUCGAAUCCCAUCAAUCACC
rnacentral:tRNA from 1 species